rnacentral:lncRNA from 1 species
GCCUACGGGGUGAUAUUUUUCUUAAAUCACACUGUUUUCAUUGUUAAAACGGAAUGCUGGAGAUGCUAAAAUGCAGUCAACUUAAAGAUAUUUAGGGAGUUAAACAACCUGUGAGAAGUCUGGUCUGUUCACAGAGAUGCUGUGUCUCUAUGCUUCAGUCACUGGUGAAUUACACGGUAAAGUGUGUGACUUAAAAUUACUUACUGAUAGAAUGUGACCGCUGAGUGGGACUCCAGAGAUAAUAUGCUCUGGUGGCAUAUUUUGUUUUUACACCAGCAAAACAGACUUAUUUACAGUCAUAAACACAAUUGUCUAUGGUUAGAAAAUACACCUUUGAUCUCCUGAGUUUUAGACUCUCUUUAAUGGCUUCUCGACACUUGUCACUAUUUCAGUGUAAUUGUUUCAUUCAAAACUGUUAAUUUGGUUCCUUCAUAUAGACACAGUCUAAGUCAAAUGAUGAAAAUCAUGAA